AUUGAACGCUGGCGGCAGGCCUAACACAUGCAAGUCGAGCGGCAGCGGGAAAGUAGCUUGCUACUUUUGCCGGCGAGCGGCGGACGGGUGAGUAAUGCCUGGGAAAUUGCCCAGUCGAGGGGGAUAACAGUUGGAAACGACUGCUAAUACCGCAUACGCCCUACGGGGGAAAGCAGGGGACCUUCGGGCCUUGCGCGAUUGGAUAUGCCCAGGUGGGAUUAGCUAGUUGGUGAGGUAAUGGCUCACCAAGGCGACGAUCCCUAGCUGGUCUGAGAGGAUGAUCAGCCACACGGGAACUGAGACACGGUCCAGACUCCUACGGGAGGCAGCAGUGGGGAAUAUUGCACAAUGGGGGAAACCCUGAUGCAGCCAUGCCGCGUGUGUGAAGAAGGCCUUCGGGUUGUAAAGCACUUUCAGCGAGGAGGAAAGGUUGAUGCCUAAUACGUAUCAACUGUGACGUUACUCGCAGAAGAAGCACCGACUAACUCCGUGCCAGCCGCCGCCGUAAUAC
rnacentral:rRNA from 1 species